UACGUAGGGGGCAAGCGUUGUCCGGAUUUAUUGGGAGUAAAGAGCGUGUAGGCGGCCAGGUAGGUCAGCUGUGAAAACUCGAGGCUCAACCUCGAGAUGUCGGCUGAAACCAUCUGGCUAGAGUCCGGAAGAGGAGAAUGGAAUUCCCGGUGUAGCGGUGAAAUGCGCAGAUAUCGGGAAGAACACCUAUGGCGAAGGCAGCUCUCUGGGACGGUACUGACGCUGAGACGCGAAAGCGUGGGGAGCGAACAGG
rnacentral:rRNA from 1 species